UACAGAGGUCUCAAGCGUUGUUCGGAUUCAUUGGGCGUAAAGGGUGCGUAGGCGGCGCGGUAAGUCGGGUGUGAAAUCUUGGAGCUUAACUCCGAAACUGCAUUCGAUACUGCCGUGCUUGAGGACCGGAGAGGAGACUGGAAUUUACGGUGUAGCGGUGAAAUGCGUAGAUAUCGUAAGGAAGACCAGUGGCGAAGGCGGGUCU
rnacentral:rRNA from 1 species